rnacentral:lncRNA from 1 species
UUUAUAUAUGUGGCCUAGCAAUAUCCUGUGUUUGGAAAAGUAUAAACCUAAGGCAUCACCUUUACAGAAAAUAUCUUCCACGGAAACAUCUAAAGGCAAAAAUCCUUCAAAUUCAAAUUUAUCCAAUCAUUUCUUCUGCUUACUACCAUCCUAAAUCAUUUUUCUUUAGUAAGAUCUAUUAGUGUGAAGCUAUUAAGCUAUUAAUGUAUGUAUCAUAUUAAUGUAUUAAGACAUUAAGUGAGGAAGUAAAGUUGCAUUCACAGGCCUUGAACUUUUCCACAUCUCGAUUUUUACCCAUCAUCUCUGCAUAGUUCCCUAAGGCAGCCUUCAAAUGGUGAUGUUUCUUAUAAUCCAGAGUUCAGAAGUGGCUUCUCUUCAAUCUUUCUGUGGAAUUCUAAACCACGUGAUAAAGGAGCUGGUGGCCACAGAUCAGCCCUGGGGUUCAGAGGGAUCCUGACAGCUACUCCUCAAGAUCCUCUCUGUUGUGAUUCAUCCCCCCGGGGCCCUACAGUUUCUCCUUCCUGACUCUUACAUUUCUUUGGAUGGCAUCAUUAUUAAGCCUGUGGCUGGCUGACAGCAGAGAGAGAUGCUCAACUUGGAGAAGGUGUUACCUGGGCCAGGUGGGGAAGGUUUGUUUGCAGAGCAAAGAAGUGAAGGAAGUAUUAACCCUUUGCAUGGCCUCCUGAGAAUCCGACAAGACGUAAAUAGCCAAGAAUAUCUGUGAAACUUCAUCACUGAGUUACAAUAUUUAUCACUGCAAGUGUGUUGUUCAUUGACACUAUAAAGCCAUGUGGAAUUAAGCAGCCUUGAAACACAAAAUGGAGAAAGGCUAAGAGCUGAGAAUUGUUGCCUUCAGGGAAAUACAAUCAAUGUCAAGCAAACAACCACCCCAAAAUGGUUAGCUUUAUCAGCAUUCAGGCCUACAGUGAACGC